CACAUACACACACACACACACGCACACACACAUGCACACACACACACUCGCACACACAAUGGAAAGGAAGCUGGGGAUUCCUGAGAUUCCUGUAGACAAAAAGGUGUGAACUCGGGCAGCCGAGCAGCCUGGGAAUUCUGUCGCGGUGUGCUCGGGUAGCAGCUUAACGGCCGACAGAGGUGCUGGUGACACAGCAGCAGAUAAACAAGACUUACACAGAUAAGGCAUGUUGGAGUGGUUCCCACCCUCACAUUUUUAGGACAGGUGAUAAACGGGGUGAAAAGGGUCGCGGGGGGUGCUGGAGCCUAUCCCAGCCGUCUUCG